CAGUAGCCGCGGUAAUACGAAGGGUGCAAGCGUUAAUCGGAAUUACUGGGCGUAAAGCGUGCGUAGGCGGUGGUUUAAGUCCGUUGUGAAAGCCCUGGGCUCAACCUGGGAAUUGCAGUGGAUACUGGAUCACUAGAGUGUGGUAGAGGAUAGUGGAAUUUCCGGUGUAGCAGUGAAAUGCGUAGGGAUCGGAAGGAACAUCUGUGGCGAAGGCGACUAUCUGGGCCAACACUGACACUGAGGCACGAAAGCGUGGGGAGCAAACAGGAUUAGAUACCCCGGUAGUCCCUGUCUCUUAUAC
rnacentral:rRNA from 1 species